UACGUAGGAUGCAAGCGUUAAUCGGAAUUACUGGGCGUAAAGCGUGCGCAGGCGGUUUUGUAAGUCUGUCGUGAAAGCCCCGGGCUCAACCUGGGAAUUGCGAUGGAGACUGCAAGGCUUGAAUCUGGCAGAGGGGGGUAGAAUUCCACGUGUAGCAGUGAAAUGCGUAGAGAUGUGGAGGAACACCGAUGGCGAAGGCAGCCCCCUGGGUCAAGAUUGACGCUCAUGCUCGAAA
rnacentral:rRNA from 1 species